UCUGUAAAGUAAAAAUAAUUAUAUAUGUUGAAAUUAGGAAAGUGAAUCCCUAAAUUCACGAUUUCAUAUCUUGGAACCCAUUUCUUCAUCGGCUGCUCAUCACCGGCUAUUUGUCUCCAUCCAUCUCCGAUCACGGUUGUAUCUUCAGCUAAGUAAUCCAAUGUUCCUCGAUUCAGUCUUUUCCUUGCUUGUGUUGUUAUUCUUCGAUUUGCUCUUAGCUGGUAUUCUUCGUUGAAUGGUGUCGCCUGAGCUACUUCUUGUUUGUUCCUUCUGUGUUCCUCAGCUGUAGGUGUUUUCUUCUCCUUCACGAUGAUGUGUUCAGCUACAGGUGUUUGCAUGCCCGAUUCACCUCUAGUGGAUACCAAGAAAUCGUUCGUAAGGCGUUCGAGGACUCGGAAAACAUAUAUAACUCCAUCGACGAGUGACAACAAUGAUAGUCGGAGGAUAACAACGAUAGGUCACUCCGGCUCUUUCCAUGAUGUUUCUUUUGAGGU